rnacentral:rRNA from 1 species
GACGAACGCUGGCGGCGCGCCUAACACAUGCAAGUCGAGCGAAGUGGCGAACGGGUGAGUAACGCGUGAGGAACCUGCCUCUCACAACGGGAUAGCCUCGGGAAACCGGGAUUAAUACCGUAUGGUGAGAGAGGGCCUAGCGUCUGAUUAGUUAGUUGGUGGGGUAAGGGCCGACCAAGACGCCGAGCAGUAACCGGCCUGAGAGAGUGAACGGUACCAUUGGAACGGAGAAACGGUCAAAACUCCUACGGGAGGCAGCGGUGGGGAAACUUGCACAAUGGGGGGAACCCUGAUGCGGCGACGCGGGGUGAACGAAGAAGGCUUCCGAGUCGUAAAGUUCUUUUAUAUGGGAAGCGGUACCAUAAGAAAAAGCCCCGGCUAACUACGUGCCAGCAGCCGCGGUAAUAC